GGCGCGAAGCUACCGUGCGC
rnacentral:snRNA from 1 species